GAAUUUUGGACAAUGGGGGCAACCCUGAUCCAGCCAUCCCGCGUGUGCGAUGCAGGCCUUCGGGUUGUAAAGCACUUUUGGCAGGGAAGAAAAGGCUCUGGCUAAUACCUGGAGCUGCUGACGGUACCUGCAGAAUCAGCACCGGCUAACUACGGCCCAGCCUGCGCGGUAAUACGUAGGGUGCAAGCGUUAAUCGGAAUUACUGGGCGUAAAGCGUGCGCAGGCGGUUCGGCAAGAAUGAUGUGAAAUCCCAGGGCUUAACCUUGGAACUGCAGUCUUAACUGCCGGGCUAGAGUAUGUCAGAGGGGGGUAGAAUUCCGCGUGUAGCAGUGAAAUGCGUAGAGAUGCGGAGGAAUACCGAUGGCGAAGGCAGCCCCCUGGGAUAAUACUGACGCUCAUGCACGAAAGCGUGGGGAGCAAAC
rnacentral:rRNA from 1 species